rnacentral:tRNA from 1 species
GCCCUUGUGGCGGAACAGGUAGACGCAGCGGACUUAAAAUCCGCUGGCCGCAAGGCCGUCCCGGUUCGAUUCCGGGCAGGGGCACCA